AUGGACGACGACGGCUCCUCCUCCUCCUCGCCGCUGCGCGUGGUGAUCUGCCCCUGGCUCGCCUUCGGCCACCUGCUGCCGUGCCUCGACAUCGCCGAGCGCCUGGCGUCGCGGGGCCACCGCGUGUCCUUCGUCUCCACGCCGCGCAACAUCGCGCGCCUCCCUCCGGUUCGGCCGGCCGUGGCGCCGCUCGUCGACUUCGUGGCGCUGCCGCUCCCGCGCGUGGACGGCCUCCCGGAGGGCGCCGAGUCGACCAACGACGUCCCGCACGACAAGUUCGAGCUCCUCCGGAAGGCCUUCGACGGCCUAGCCGCGCCCUUCUCCGAGUUCCUGCGCGCCACGUGCGCCGAGGGAGCUCGCAAGAGGCCGGACUGGCUCAUCGUCGACAGCUUCCACCACUGGGCCGCCGCGGCCGCCAUCGAAAAUAAGGUUCUCUCCCCUCUGUUGCUUCAAUUCCAUGUACGUACAAGUACAGCUCGAUUGAUCCAUGCCGCCGAUGUCAUACCCAAGGUUUUUAGUUUCAGAAACAAAGUUCUAUGUGUGAUGCUUCUCCUAGGAGCCGCAACCGUGAUCGCCACCUGGGCCAGAGGGGUGUCCGAGCACGCCGCGGCCGCCGUCGGAAAAGAGCGAUCGGCAGCCGAAGCGCCAAGCUUCGAGACGGAGAGGAGAAAACUGAUGUUCACCCAGAACGCAUCGGGGAUGACGGUCGCCGAGCGAUACUUCCUGACGCUCAUGCGGAGCAAUCUCGUGGCUAUCCGGAGCUGCACCGAGUGGGAGCCUGAGAGCGUCGCUGCCCUCACCACGCUCGCGGGCAAGCCGGUCGUCACUCUCGGCCUCCUCCCACCCUCGCCUAAGGGAGGCCGCGGCGUCGGCAAGGAUGACGCCACCGUGCGCUGGCUCGAUGCGCAACCGGCCAAGUCGGUGGUCUACGUCGCGCUGGGGAGCGAGGUGCCGCUGCGCGCAGAGCAGGUACACGAGCUGGCCCUCGGCCUGGAGCUCUCUAAGGCACGCUUCCUUUGGGCUCUGCGGAAGCCGCCUGGCGUGUCGGACGCGGGCGUCCUCACUCCAGGGUUCGAGGAGCGCACGCGCGGCCACGGGCUCGUGGUGACCGGGUGGGUUCCUCAAAUCAGCGUGCUGGCGCACGACGCCGUGGCCGCGUUCCUGACGCACUGCGGGUGGAACUCGACCAUCGAAGGGCUGUUGUUCGGCCACCCGUUGAUCAUGCUGCCCAUCUCCAGCGACCAGGGGCCCAACGCGCAGCUCAUGGAGGGUAGGAACGUCGGGAUGCAGGUGCCAAGAAACGAGAGUGACGGAUCGUUCAUCCGGGAAGACGUCGCCGCGAUGGUGCGGGCCGUCGCCGUGGAGGAAGACGGCAGGAGGGUCUUCACGGCCAACGCCAAGAAGAUGCAGGAGAUCGUGGCCGACGGCGCAUGCCAUGAGAGGUGCAUCGACGGGUUUAUUCAGGGGCUCAGAUCCUACAAGCCAUGA
rnacentral:rRNA from 1 species